CUACGGGAUGCUGCAGUGGGGAAUAUUGCACAAUGGGCGCAAGCCUGAUGCAGCCAUGCCGCGUGUAUGAAGAAGGCCUUCGGGUUGUAAAGUACUUUCAGCGGGGAGGAAGGGAGUAAAGUUAAUACCUUUGCUCAUUGACGUUACCCGCAGAAGAAGCACCGGCUAACUCCGUGCCAGCAGCCGCGGUAAUACGGAGGGUGCAAGCGUUAAUCGGAAUUACUGGGCGUAAAGCGCACGCAGGCGGUUUGUUAAGUCAGAUGUGAAAUCCCCGGGCUCAACCUGGGAACUGCAUCUGAUACUGGCAAGCUUGAGUCUCGUAGAGGGGGGUAGAAUUCCAGGUGUAGCGGUGAAAUGCGUAGAGAUCUGGAGGAAUACCGGUGGCGAAGGCGGCCCCCUGGACGAAGACUGACGCUCAGGUGCGAAAGCGUGGGGAGCAAACAGGAUUAGAUACCCGCGUAGUC
rnacentral:rRNA from 1 species